AGCGAACGCUGGCGGCAGGCUUAACACAUGCAAGUCGAGCGGGCACUUCGGUGUCAGCGGCAGACGGGUGAGUAACACGUGGGAACGUACCCUUCGGUUCGGAAUAACGCUGGGAAACUAGCGCUAAUACCGGAUACGCCCUUUUGGGGAAAGGUUUACUGCCGAAGGAUCGGCCCGCGUCUGAUUAGCUAGUUGGUGGGGUAAUGGCCUACCAAGGCGACGAUCAGUAGCUGGUCUGAGAGGAUGAUCAGUCACACUGGGACUGAGACACGGCCCAGACUCCUACGGGAGGCAGCAGUGGGGAAUAUUGGACAAUGGGCGCAAGCCUGAUCCAGCCAUGCCGCGUGAGUGAUGAAGGCCUUAGGGUUGUAAAGCUCUUUUGUCCGGGACGAUAAUGACGGUACCGGAAGAAUAAGCCCCGGCUAACUUCGUG
rnacentral:rRNA from 1 species